UUAAUUUUUUUUUUUUAGUUUUUUCGGCAGACACAACAUCUUUCUUUGUAUGUGGUGCUGAGGAUCGAACCCGGGCCACACGCAUGCCAGGCGAGCGCGCUACCGCUUGAGCCACAUCCCCAGCCCCCCUUUGUGGUAUCUUAAGACUGUCUCAGGCGCAUAGUUUCUGUGCCCUUGCAAAAGGCAUAGGAUUGCCUAUUCCAAUGCCCAUCGUUUCAUGGUCUCUUCUCUCCAGUGUACCUGUAGCGAAAAAAGUCCCUUGGAUUCCAAGUGAGCUGAUGGCAGCACUGCUUUCUCUUUUCUUUGGGGUGUGAGUUGAUUGUGGUCAUAGUCACCUUCUUUUUCCUUCAAGACCACAUUCCCAUUCUAUUUGAAAAAUGUUUGUCUGGGUAACUUCCUCCCUUGGAAUGUUUAGCAUCCUCUCCACCCACCAUGCAGGACCACCCCUUCUGCCCAUGAUUGUCAUCACUGUAGACUAACACAUGUCUUCCAUUCCCAGCAUGUACUUUUUCUUCUUUCAAGGUACCAUAUACGGUAUAUAAGAAAGUAAGUGAUAUGGAUGCUGAUACCUUUCAGGUGAGGUGGCACAAAGGGAGGAGACAAAGCUUAAAUAUUUACCUUAGAUGGAACUUGACUUUGCUUGUUUGAGACCUUUAUUUAUUAGUUCCUAUAUACUUGGCCAUGGGUAAGGGAAAACGAAGGGAGGAGGUGGUAGUGAAGAGAAUGAAGUGAGGGAUUCUUGCAGACUCUUUUCCUCUAGAGCCUGGAGGCCCCAUUUGGAACUGCAUUGGGAAGUGACUAUCUCUUCAUUCACACACAGGCUUCCCCUGGGCAGUUCUUUCCUCUGGCACUUGAAUCAGAUGUGGAUAGAUUAAGCAUUUUCUCUUGCUGCCAAUGGACAUUUAGAAAGUUGGUUAGUCUCAAGUGCACCAUUACAACCUCACUUUUUAUUUUUAUUAAAAUCACAAACUUAAGUAAUGAGAAAUAAUUAUUUUUGGGGUGAGUCAGCUCUUUUCACAAGUUGGGUUUGUGACCAUUACCCACUUAGAGGAGGACAAUCUCAGCUAAGAAUCACGCUUAAUUAUAAAAACAAGGAAUGAUGAUGACAUUGGGCAAUUUGAGUAAUUAAAAUUAUUUAGAGAAGCAUUGAUUGGUUUAAACCAAAAUAUGCCUGAAAGCUUAUUUGUAUUUUAUAUAUAUUCACAUGACAUUCUUGUCACCUAGUCUUCUUUCUCAUUUCAAAACACUGGAGGAUAUUCUAUAUCCUGGAAUAAUAAUUGAGACUACUCCAUUCAAAUACUUUGAAUUUACGAGACUAGCUAACUACAAUUCUUUCAGUAUAGGAAAAGGAUAGUAGAAUUUUAGGGAAAACUGUUCCUGGUUUCUUUGCGUUAUGUUUAGCGGUUUUAUUUUUGUUGAAAUUCUCCAAAUUAAAAUGCAAAAGCUUAACUUCUUGGCUGGGUUUGCUUGCUUAACCUUAAUAAAAUAUAAGGCUCUGUUUCAUUAAUCAGAAACACACUAGACACAGUGCAUGAAUUUUAUCUUCCACUUUGUCCUUUAUAUUUCAGAAUGAUAAUAAUAAUAAAAAUUUAUAGGGGUUGGCAGGCCAGACAAUCCUGCCUCCAUUGUUUCUAGGAGGUUCCUUUGUAAAAUGGAUUUCUCAGACAGGCAAAAUGCCUUCAGGGACAAAAAUUCCUAUAAUCCUCUUCUCUGGAAAUCUUUAAAAAUAGAAUAAACUUUUAUUCAUUCGUCUGGGUGUGGUUUAAGCACAGUUCGUCUUAGGCAGAGGGAUGGUUUAACUGACCUCUUGAUGUUGCUGUAAGCUGCACAAUCACUUAAAUGGGGGAAUUUUCCUUUAAUCAGUGCCAGAUUUAAUUUAUCACAACAAUACAUGUUUUUAUGGAUGUAGUAAAACAAAAAUCAGGUGCAAUCUUCUUUUCCAUGGUAAAGUAAUAAAAUGGUUUAUUCUCAAAUUCGAGAAAGUAAAAUUGAAUCAGGAACAGAUACGAUGUUUUCCCCUUCCUCAAAUUUGUACCACAG
rnacentral:lncRNA from 1 species